rnacentral:hammerhead_ribozyme from 1 species
AUCUAGCUGACGAGUCCCAAGUAGGACGAAACGUGCUUCCUAGAU